rnacentral:rRNA from 1 species
AACGAACGCUGGCGGCAGGCCUAACACAUGCAAGUCGAACGGGAUCUUCGGAUCUAGUGGCGGACGGGUGAGUAACGCGUGGGAACGUGCCCUUUGGUUCGGAAUAGCCCUGGGAAACUGGGAGUAAUACCGGAUACGGUCGAGAGACGAAAGAUUUAUCGCCGAAGGAUCGGCCCGCGUUGGAUUAGGUAGUUGGUGGGGUAAAGGCCUACCAAGCCGACGAUCCAUAGCUGGUUUGAGAGGAUGAUCAGCCACACUGGGACUGAGACUCGGCCCAGACUCCUACGGGAGGCAGCAGUGGGGAAUCUUAGACAAUGGGGGAAACCCUGAUCUAGCCAUGCCGCGUGAGCGAUGAAGGCCUUAGGGUUGUAAAGCUCUCUCGUGGGGGAAGAUAAUGACUGUACCCCAAGAAGAAGCCCCGGCUAACUCCGUGCCAGCAGCCGCGGUAAUAC